UCCCCAGUGGCUCAGCGGUAAAGAAUUUGCCUGCAAUGCAGGAGAUUCAGGUUCGAUUCCUGAGUCAGGAA
rnacentral:tRNA from 1 species